UUCCAAACUCACCUUUGAGAUGGAUGUUUGCUGAGAGCCACAAAACUGGUGGAAUUCACUGCUGUAUAGAUGUUCAUCAGAGUACUGGCAGCAUAUUGAUGCACUUGACUUUAAAAGUCAGGGACUGAGUCAGGUGAACAAAACUAGGAACUCAUGGACCAAAUCCAACUGGUUGGAGAGCUGCCAGUCACCAAUAAUGUUUCUGAUAGUGGCUUCGCUGACAGCCUAUGUCCUGAAGUGAGGAUAACAAGGACCUGAGAGUUGAGCCCUUAGUUGACUUCUGAUGGCAACAUAAUGUGAGCAGAAAAUAGAAGACUUCCUUGUUUUUUUUUUUUUUAUAAGUAUUCCUUGAGCAUUUAUUUACAGCACAUUUCAAUAAAAGACUCUGCAUUAUUAAUACA